GAGUUUGAUCCUGGCUCAGAACGAACGCUGGCGGCGUGCUUAACACAUGCAAGUCGAACGUGAUUGAGAGCUUGCUCUCAUGAAAGUGGCGCACGGGUGAGUAACACGUGGAUAAUCUGCCUGGCGAUUCGGGAUAACACUUCGAAAGGGGUGCUAAUACCGGAUAAGCCCACGGUCUCUUCGGAGAGCGCGGGAAAAGGGGGCCUCUGUAUAUGCUCCUGUCGCUAGAUGAGUCCGCGGCCCAUUAGCUAGUUGGUAGGGUAAUGGCCUACCAAGGCUACGAUGGGUAGCUGGUCUGAGAGGAUGAUCAGCCACACUGGAACUGAGACACGGUCCAGACUCCUACGGGAGGCAGCAGUGGGGAAUUUUGCGCAAUGAGCGAAAGCCUGACGCAGCAACGCCGCGUGAGUGAUGAAGGCUUUCGGGUCGUAAAGCUCUGUCAGAGGGGAAGAACCGCCGGGUGGCUAAUACCUGCCUGGUCUGACGGUACCCUCAAAGGAAGCACCGGCUAACUCCGUGCCAGCAGCCGCGGUAAUACC
rnacentral:rRNA from 2 species